GUACCACCCCAGUAAGACGGCUCCUGAUGACGCGUUUUAUUUUCAACCAUUUCGUAUGUUUUUCUUUUGGUGUUUCUUCUUUCCUUGCAUCUUCUUAGUUAAGCUUAGAUGGUAAAGCUUUGUUUUAUCACAUAUCAUGUAUAAAUAACAGGAAAAUUAUGCUCCGUAUGUUUUAGUUCUUUUUUAUCCGUACUACAGACGACCACUUUAUUGCUUCCGAUUAGCCGAUGUUAUAGUCUCACAAGCUAAAACCAAAAUAUACAAACACCUGACAUUGUUAGGUCAACCAGCUGCAUAUCCAAAUGGUAAAAUACUACAGGUUUGAAUUGGAAUAAACGCGACACAAAGAGCAUUGACAUAUCCAAUCUAACAUGUUAUGUUCUUUAAUUUAAGGUCAUAAUCAAUGGUUUAGAAACUCCUUAACUUCUCAACAAUCACAAUACUAAAAGGCCAAUAUGCUGAGUCUCUAGACUGUCACGUCAUCAAAAAUAAUCAACCAAUCACAACAUUUUAUUUUUGGAUUUGGGCUUAAGAUGUGUUUAAAGUGGAUUAAGUGUGUGGGGUUCAUUUGUUUAGGUUUGGGCUUCUUUUUUUAUUGAACUAAACCUAGAAACCUAAAUUACGACACAGAGAUGCCUGAGGCUCUUCUUCUCCUCUGCCACUUCGUCUUCUCCCCGUAAAACAAUUUCGACUGAGUUCUAAUCCAUCCAUCAAUACUCUACAAUCAAUUUCUUUUUUAUGGUUUCGUUACAUCUCCUUCUUUUCCUCCUCCUUACUUCAGUGGUCUGAAACUCAGAGCAGGAACCAUCAACACAGCCAAUAUCAAAGCUUGAGUUUGAUUUUGAGAGAAAUAAGUCGAACAAAGAUGAUGUCAGAGAAUUAAUCUACCGAGAGAUAUUGGAGUAUCAUCCUCAGAUGCUGGAGGAAUACAAGCGCGGUGGUGAUCAGCUUAGCUUCAUGUACCCUAGUGGGGUUGAUCAAUUCAAGAGGCAAUUUGCUCACCUUGAAGAGAAUCAAGGUAAACCAGGGGCAGGAGCAGGAGGAGGAAGAAGUACUGCAAUGCAUAGACACCAUGCUUCCUUGCCAAGGUAAUCUCUUUUCACAGAAUCUCUUGCUUUGCUCUCUCCUUCUCUGAAAGCAUUGGGCUUCUCUGUGAUUGUGUGUUGCAGAGAGAGAGUGGUGAGACUGCAGAAAAAAGCAGUGAUGUUGAGAGAAGAGCAGCAGCUGCUGUGGCUUCAAUUACAGUGCUCGUAGCCUCAUGAAGAGUUCGAGCAUCAGCGGUUCUAAAUGCAUUGGUGUCCAAUCUAAAACCGACAAAGAGGACACCAUAGCUGAGGAAGGAGAUGGUGAAUCAGUGGCGGAGCUUACUGAAAGAGUUGCUUCUCUUCGUGAUUCUUAAAACGUUUUUACUUUUUUUUUUGGCGUUUGGUGAAAACACCCAUCGUGUUACUGGUCACGGCCUUUACCGCAAAGACUCUCGGAGGUACAGUUUUCUUUCUUUAAUAUAGGUUUACUACAGUUAUGUAUCUUCAUUUUGUGUUUUUUAAUGGGUUUUUCUUGAUACAAUAUGUACUCUGCUUUUAGGAUUACUCUGCUUAGUUAAUUAUUUAGAAAUCUAUGAUAAUUACGAUGAUAUAGUUUGAGGAACAUAUAUGACAGGUAAGGAUUACAUCCGCAUAGUGUAAAUUAAUAUUGUGAUCAACAAGUAAUCUUUUUCAUAUU